AGGUCUUAGAUUGAUCAUUUGACAGCCCUUAUGCACUCAAGGACUAUAGAUGCACCUAUUAGGGGAGAAGAUGGAGAAACUUCAAAGCACUGUUGAUCUUGUUCAAAAAAGCUUGAACUUAGAGGUGAUCUAUGGGGAUACAGAUUCAAUAAUGAUUUACAGUGGGCUAGAUGAUAUUGCAAAAGCAACUUCAAUAGCUAAGAAAGUUAUUCAAGAGAUAGUUUUGGCAUGUUUCAAGCAUAUAUGGUCAUAGUCACUGGUGAAGGGAUUGGAAAAGUAUGGUGAUCAGAAUGAUGAGGACGGGGAUAUGACUGAUGCCAUUGCUGCUCAGGUAACAAACUGUUGAUAAUAUCUCAUUGUUUUUUUUCUUUCAAAAUGAGCUUUAAAGAGGCUUUGAAUUUUCUUAUCACGAAAACUAUUGUUUGAUAUUGCCUUAGGUGCACCGUUUGGCCAAUGAAGUUCGGCAGAUAGCGUCAAAUAGGUCAAUCACAGUGCUGAAUAAUGUGGCUCCUGCUUAAGAUGCUUUGUUUCUCUAUUUGUUUUUUAUAUGUCCUUUUCCGUUUUCUGCAGGUAAUUUAUCAUCUCUUGUGGUUCCAGCAGCUGUCGUCGGUGCUGCAGUCUAUGGCUAUAUGCGGUUCAAGAAUUAUAAAGUCGGAACUACGGACAAGCCAAGGAUCUCCGGAAGUCAAAUGAAGUUUGUAAAUGUUGGAUCUCUGAAAUUCAAAGGAAAUUUGUAAAUGUUGGAUUUGAAAUGGUUAUGGAACCUUCAAUUUUGAUGUUAGGCGAACCAACGUCUGGACUGGAAUGUGAAAUGACUGGAAUGCGCAUCAUCUCAACUCCCUCUAAGAGCUAGGAGAUAUGAAGUUCUUGAGAGUGAACAUUUGCUUGGGGAUUCCCUAGCCUCGGUAAAUUUUAAAUUCAUGGAUGUAUCUUAGAAGUGUUUUGUUCAUUACCAUUUGUAGCUUUGAAAUUUUAUUUUAUUAACAUGAAACAAAGCAUCUCAUGAGUGUAAAAUUGGAACUAAACACAUGCUUCACAUUUUGUGUCA